AGUGAACGCUGGCGGUAGGCCUAACACAUGCAAGUCGAACGGCAGCACAGUAAGAGCUUGCUCUUACGGGUGGCGAGUGGCGGACGGGUGAGGAAUACAUCGGAAUCUACUUUUUCGUGGGGGAUAACGUGGGAAAAUUAAGGUUAUUCCCCCUAACGCCUACGGGGUAAAGCCAGGGGUCCUUGGAACUUGGCGCGUUUGAUUGAGCCGAUGUCGGAUUAGCUAGUUGGCGGGGUAAAGGCCCACCAAGGCGACGAUCCGUAGCUGGUCUGAGAGGAUGAUCAGCCACACUGGAACUGAGACACGGUCCAGACUCCUACGGGAGGCAGCAGUGGGGAAUAUUGGACAAUGGGCGCAAGCCUGAUCCAGCCAUACCGCGUGGGUGAAGAAGGCCUUCGGGUUGUAAAGCCCUUUUGUUGGGAAAGAAAAGCAGCAGGUUAAUACCCCGCUGUUCUGACGGUACCCAAAGAAUAAGCACCGGCUAACUUCGUG
rnacentral:rRNA from 1 species